rnacentral:rRNA from 1 species
UCAAGUUAUUAAGGGUGCAGGGCGGAUGCCUUGGCACUAGGAGCCGAUGAAGGACGUGAUAAGCUGCGAUAAGCUUCGGGGAGUUGCACGUAAACUUUGAUCCGAAGAUUUCCGAAUGAGGAAACUCACUUAGAGUAAUGUCUAAGUAUCAUUAAGUGAAUAUAUAGCUUAAUGAGGGGAACUCAGGGAACUGAAACAUCUAAGUACCUGAAGGAAGAGAAAGAAAUUCGAUUCCGUAAGUAGCGGCGAGCGAACGCGGAUUAGCCCAAACCAAUAAAGUUUUCUUUGUUGGGGUUGCGGACAUAUCAUAACGAAGAGGUAUCGUAAUUGAAGAGGUUUGGAAAGACCCACCACAGAAGGUAAUAGUCCUGUAUGUUAAACGAGAAGACUUCAGAUAUGAUCCAGAGUACCACGGGACACGUGAAACCCUGUGGGAAGCAGGAGGGACCACCCUCCAAGGCUAAAUACUACCUAGUGACCGAUAGCGUAUAGUACCGUGAGGGAAAGGUGAAAAGAACCCCGGGAGGGGAGUGAAAUAGAACCUGAAACCCUGCACUUACAAGCUGUGGAAGCACAUUUCUUGUGUGACCGCGUACUUUUUGUAGAACGGGCCAACGAGUUACGUUAAGUAGCAAGGUUAAGCACUUAAGGUGCGGAGCCGUAGCGAAAGCGAGUUUUAACUGAGCGUUCAGUUACUUGACGUAGACCCGAAACCGGGCGACCUACCCAUGAGCAGGAUGAAGCGAAAGUAAAAUUUCGUGGAGGUCCGAACCCACGAGCGUUGAAAAGCUCGGGGAUGACUUGUGGGUAGCGGUGAAAUUCCAAUCGAGCCCGGAGAUAGCUGGUUCUCCCCGAAAUAGCUUUAGGGCUAGCCUCAAGGUGAGAGAUACGGAGGUAGAGCACUGAAUGUCCUAGGGGGUAUUGCACCUACCGAAGACUAUCAAACUCCGAAUGCCGUCAUCUUAUACUUGGGAGUCAGACUGUGGGUGAUAAGAUUCAUAGUCGAAAGGGCAACAGCCCAGAUCGUCAGCUAAGGUCCCUAAAUGUAAGUUAAGUGGUAAAGGAUGUGGGAUUGCACAGACAACCAGGAUGUUGGCUUAGAAGCAGCCACUCAUUCAAAGAGUGCGUAAUAGCUCACUGGUCGAGUGAUCCUGCGCCGAAGAUUUCCGGGGCUAAAACUUACUACCGAAGCUACGGCAUCAGUAAUGAUGGGUAGGGGAGCUUCCCAUACGGGUUGAAGCAUGACCGUAAGGACAUGUGGACAGUAUGGGAGUGAGAAUGUUGGCAUGAGUAGCGAGAUGUGGGUGAGAAUCCCACAGGCCGUAAACCCAAGGUUUCCAGGGGAAGGUUCGUCCGCCCUGGGUUAGUCGGGACCUAAGCUGAGGCCGAAAGGCGUAGGUGAUGGACAACAGGUUGAUAUUCCUGUACUACCGAUAACCGUUUGAGAGAAGGGAUGACACAGUAGGAUAAGCUAAGCACACUGUUGGUUAUGUGUGCCCAAGCAUUGAGGCAGUCAAAGCAGGCAAAUCCGCUUUGAUAAUGCUGGGAUGUGAUGGGGAGCGAAAUUUAGUAGCGAAGUAGCUGAUUUCACACUGUCAAGAAAAGUCUCUAUCGAGGUUAAAGGUACCCGUACCGCAAACCGACACAGGUGGGUGAGGAGAGUAUCCUAAGGCCAGCGAGAGAACUGUUGUUAAGGAACUCGGCAAAAUGACCCCGUAACUUAGGGAUAAGGGGUGCCACCAUCCGGUGGCCGCAGAGAAUAGGCCCAAGCGACUGUUUACCAAAAACAUAGGUUUCUGCUAAGUCGCAAGACGAUGUAUAGGAGCUGACGCCUGCCCGGUGCUGGAAGGUUAAGGGGAUCUGUUAGAGCAAUCGAAGCAGUGAACUUAAGCCCCAGUAAACGGCGGCCGUAACUAUAACGGUCCUAAGGUAGCGAAAUUCCUUGUCGGGUAAGUUCCGACCCGCACGAAAGGCGUAACGAUUUGGGCACUGUCUCAACAACAGACUCGGUGAAAUUGUAAUUCCGGUGAAGAUGCCGGAUACCUGCGACAGGACGGAAAGACCCCAUGGAGCUUUACUGUAGCUUGACAUUGGGUCUUGGUACUACAUGUACAGGAUAGGUGGGAGGCUUUGAAACCAGGACGCCAGUUUUGGUGGAGCCAUCCUUGGGAUACCACCCUUGUAGUACUGGGACUCUAACCAUAGGCCAUGAAUCUGGUCUUGGGACACUGUCAGGUGGGCAGUUUGACUGGGGCGGUCGCCUCCCAAAAGGUAACGGAGGCGCUCAAAGGUUCUCUCAGUACGGUCGGAAAUCGUACGUAGAGUGUAAAGGCAAAAGAGAGCUUGAUUGCAAGACAUACAGGUCGAGCAAGGAUGAAAAUCGGACUUAGUGAUCCGGUGGUUCUGCGUGGAAGGGCCAUCGCUCAACGGAUAAAAGCUACCCUGGGGAUAACAGGCUUAUCUCCCCCAAGAGUCCACAUCGACGGGGAGGUUUGGCACCUCGAUGUCGGCUCAUCACAUCCUGGGGCUGUAGUAGGUCCCAAGGGUUGGGCUGUUCGCCCAUUAAAGUGGUACGCGAGCUGGGUUCAGAACGUCGUGAGACAGUUCGGUCCCUAUCCGUCGCAGGCGUAGGAAAUUUGAGAAGACCUGUCCUUAGUACGAGAGGACCGGGAUGGACGUACCUCUGGUGUACCAGUUGUUCUGCCAAGGGCAUGGCUGGGUAGCUAUGUACGGAAUGGAUAAGCGCUGAAAGCAUCUAAGCGCGAAGCCAACUUCAAGAUAAGAUUUCCCACCGCAAGGGUAAGACCCCAGAAAGACUAUCUGGUUGAUAGGUCGAAGGUGUAAGUGCAGCAAUGUAUUUAGCUUAUCGAUACUAAUAGGUCGAGGACUUGACCAA